AUUUUGCAUAGGUCGUGCUGGCCUAACUUAGUAUGGAUGUGUUGCACAAUCAGAUCAAUUGCAACAUGGUUAUCACCCCCACGCGGUAUGAUCACAUCAGCGUACUUCUUUGACGGCAGAAUGAAAUCAUCAAAAGCAGGUUUUACAAACUUUGCAUACUGUUCAAGAACAGAGUUAAUGUCCCUGCCCCUCUCUACUGUAUCACGUCUAAUUCUACGAGCA
rnacentral:misc_RNA from 1 species